AAGAUGGGGAGAGAGACCCCCAGAAUAUUACCCCGAAGGCAACUUUUACUCUGGGGGACUCUCCCAUUCGAAAUCCGAAAGUGGCGGGAUCCUGGUGAGAGAAACUUUCUCUUUUAAUUCGUCUUUGGAGCACUCUGCUGGCCGAUUUGUCCCAUGGUCGUCUUGGCGGGUGAGUUGGUAUUUUUUCCCAUCAGGUGGCAACUCCUUGUGUCAGGUUGGAGGCGGGUGGCAGCACUCGUUGGGAAAAAAGGACGUCGACUUGAGGACAACAUUGGAGGGCAGUGGAUUUGGCGUGAGACCUGUAUGAAGCAUCGUCGUGUGGGUGGACAUUGUGUGGCGUCUUCGUGUACAGGUGCAGGUGAGUCCAGAGGAUGUCGUCAGGAUGGGUAAAAUAUAUCACAGGAAUAAGAAGAGGACAUGUAAACAAAGAUUUCUGGACAGGAUUUAGGAGCAUAUCACAUAGAUUGAACAGAUCCCAGGUGUUGAUGGCGAUGGAUGGCCUUUUCGCAUGUAUCCUUACAUGGUCUGCGCGUUCGAUAGGAAGUUCGUCGAGUGGUGGGAACGCAGGAGAGAGUUAUAUUUUCGAGUGGGAGCAGACCGCGUCAUCUUUAUCUUCGCAGGGCAGGCAGUGGAUCGUGUGAGUAGGGAUUUCCGAUGCAGGUGUAUAGGGAGGAAGAGAGGGAUCAUGCUUGUGCUCAUGUACUGAUGGAGAAUGUUAGGAUCAUGCCGGAGCUGAGAUGUAUAACUCCUGUCGUCAGCUAGGUGGUGGGGAUUUUGUCAGAUCAAUCAAGUCUGGAGGAAUGUUUAUUUCCCAGGGGAGAAUCUUGAUGUCGGGAAAGACUAGGCGUCUCACCAUCAGAGGUUGACCGCGUAGCAUCCGUUCUGCUCGUUGUAGGGAGAUUUCACGAUUUACGUAUGAUUUUCUAAUCCAAUUUAUUGCUCUCUCGCCAAGCCUAUUUAUCCCGGAGCUUGAGAAAUUGGGAUGUACGUAUUUGGGCUUGAACUUGGCAUCUUCGGCAGCAUCGUCCUCCUUUUUUAUGUUUAGUCGAAGGAGCGUAGGGAUGAUGCAGGGUUGUGGGUGAGUUUUCCUCGAUUCUUUGAAAUGUUCCUCGAUCUGCUUCGCAAGUCUCGGCCUGGUCUUUUUAGUACAUUCAGGGGUGACCAUAUGAAGGCUGAGGUGUUGGGCCACAGGGUUUAUGUGCGAGGCCAGGGAGUUCGCAAGCCGGGUACUUUGGGCCUGAUAAGUUUCUUCCAGGGUCUUAAUUUUAUGUGCUCUGGCGAUGUCCUUAUUGGGUACGUGUCUGUCGUAGCCGAGCGCUCGUCUUAUAAUUGAGUUUGUCGUUUGUUGGGCCCUUAGUACCGCCGAUUCAGAGGCAAGCGAUGCCCACACCGGUAUGGCGUAUUGCCAUAGGGGGAUGAUGAGUUGUUUAAUAAGUGUGGCCUUGGUUUGCCGAGGUAGAGGGCUGGUGGGCCCAAGAAGCCAGUUUAGGCUUUUUGCCCUGGCCCGUGUCCUGAUGCAUAUCUGGGUGAUGUGCUUGUUCAUAUUUAAUUUACUGUCUAGUGUGAGCCCAAGAUAUUUAUAGGAGAUUGCGUGUGGGAUGGUCUGUCCAUCCAAAAGGAGCUGGGUUUUGGUGUCUUUGGCUGUGGGUCUGCCUAGAUUGAACGUGACAUGGGAACAUUUUUUGACGUUGAAGGACAUGCCCCAAGUAUUUGCCCAGGAAGAGAUUGCGUCCAGGUAGGCCUGUAGCUGCUUGCUGUGGUAGUUCGAGGCAUCGUGCUUGUACAGGAUGGCCGUGUCAUCCGCAUAGGUGGAGAGGAGAAAAUUUCCCGGGCUGUGGGUAUUGCUCCUAGCAAUGCUGGGAACAAUGUCAGGGAGAGGCAUGUCAGAGGUACGCAGUCAGCACCUUGAGUAGUUGAGGCGGGAGGAUUCUUUUUAGCUUCAGGAGCAAUCCUUUGUGCCAGACCCUGUCAAAGGCUUGGGAGAAAUCGAGGAAAACGGCUGAGCAUUUCUCCUUCUCCUCAAAUGCUUUGAGGACAUGCUGCGUGACCCUCAGGAUCUGCUGUUCAGCGCUAUGCUCCGGACGAAAACCGAAUUGGUGCCCAGGAAUUGCUUCCGAAAACAUCCUGCACUCCAUGAGCUUGGGGAGCAAUAGUCUCUCGAAUAGUUUUCCAAAACCAGAGAGUAGGCUUAUAGGCCUGUAAGAGUCUGGGCAGUGGGUUGACUUUCCCGAUUUGUGGAUCAUUGUGAUGAUUGCCAGCUUCCACUGCUGGGGGAAAUGCCCAAUCCUGAGUAUGGAGUUGAAGAUGUAGAGCAGAUAGAGGACAGCUUUUUUGGGUAGCAGUUUUAUCAGGGAGUUUGAGAUCCGGUCUUCGCCAGGACUCUUGGCUGAAGCUAGUGAAGAGAUCUGAGUGAGAAGUUCCUCCAGUUUAAAGGACACAGGAGCCAAGGGAGGAGAUUGAGGUUCAUUCUGGGGGAGAAUCUUUCUUCGAGGUGUUUGGCAAAUGCAUCAGCUUUUUCCUUCGGGGUUCGGGUCCAUCUGUAGGUUUGAGACUUGGUCAAGUUCCUGUGAGUCUCAUACUGGAGCGGUAUCUUGAGUGGAUGGUCCGCAGGAGGUUGCCUUUUAAUGUGCCUAGUGAUUCUCCAUAUUUUGGCCAUGUUGUAUCUGUCAGCUGGGUCCAGAUCCGUGAGCAUCCUGUCCAUCCUAGCCCGUUUCAGGUGAGGGAUCCGUCAACAUUGCUUGUUGGCAGGCUAGCGCUUUCUCAAGGAGAAGUCUGGCAGUUUUGUCCAGCCUUAUCUUGGAGUGAUGUGGGCGUUUGUUGGUGUUUGUGGAGACGCGGUUUGUGGUGGAGGAGGCAUGGGUGGCUGCCAGCUCUAUGUUUUUCAAAAGUGUUUCUGGAAAGCACGUAUGGAUUGGGAUCCUCUUGGAAGGGGAAGAGGUCUGGCAGAGUUUUGAUCUGGAGAGGGUGGACUCAAGGGGAUCAUGCCCAUAGAAACCGUGAUCAGGAUUGGAACAUGGUCAGAGGUUAAUUCAUUUGCGGAGGUUAUAGAGAUGUGGCUGGCAAGGAAACCUGAGUAGACGGCGAAAUCAAUGGCAGAGGGAUUUGC